rnacentral:lncRNA from 1 species
CUUCACACCAAUUUCCCUUAUGAAUAUCGACGCAAAAAUACUCAACAAAAUUCUGGCAAACCGAAUCCAAGAGCACAUCAAAACAAUCAUCCACCAGGACCAAGUAGGCUUCAUCCCAGGCAUGCAGGGAUGGUUUAAUAUACGGAAAACCAUCAACGUGAUCCAUUAUAUAAACAAACUGAAAGAACAAAACCACAUGAUCAUUUCAUUAGAUGCUGAGAAAGCAUUUGACAAAAUUCAACACCCCUUCAUGAUAAAAGUCCUGGAAAGAAUAGGAAUUCAAGGCCCAUACCUGAACAUAGUAAAAGCCAUAUACAGCAAACCAGUUGCUAACAUUAAACUAAAUGGAGAGAAACUUGAAGC